rnacentral:rRNA from 1 species
UGCCGCUUGCGAGGGCGUAUGGUGGAUGCCUUGGCAGACAGUACCGAUGAAGGACGUUUGAGGAUGCGAUAAUCCUAGGGGAGCCUCCAACAUGGCUUUGAUCCUAGGGUCUCCGAAUGGGGGAACCCGCCGGCCGUCAUGGGCCGGCACCGCCUAUGGGCGGGGGGUACGCAGGGAAGUGAAACAUCUCAGUACCUGCAGGAAGGGAUACUCCGUGAGUAGUGGCGAGCGAAAGCGGAUCAGACCAAACCGGUUGCGCGUGAUACCCGUCGGGGGUUGCGUUGCCGGUGUCGUGGGAUCACGUGUCCCGGUUCCGACGGGCCGGGCGGGAGUCAUAAAACGGCUUGCCAGGGGAACAGGCUUGAAGGCCUGGCCGUAGAGGGUGCCAGCCCCGUACCUGGACGUGAGCCGUCUUCCGAUCGUGUUGUCCCAAGUAGCGCGGGCCUCGUGGAAUCCCGCGUGAAUCAGCCCAGACCGUUGGGUAAGUCUAAGCAUACCUGUCUGACCGAUAGCGUACCAGUACCGUGAGGGAAAGGUGAAAAGCACCCCGGGAGGGGAGUGAAACAGUUCCUGAAACCGUGCGCCCACAAACCGUCGGAGCCUCCUUGUGGGGUGACGGCGUGCCUAUCGAAAAAUGAGUCUGCGAGUCAGUGGCGGGUGGCGAGCAUAAGCCGUGUGGCGUAUGCGUAGCGAAAGCGAGUCUUAAAAGGCGUUUUUAGUCGCUUGUCCUGGACCCGAAGCGGGAUGAUCUAGCCCUGGGCAGGUUGAAGCGCGGGUAAGACCGCGUGGAGGACCGAACCCACCUGGGUUGAAAACCGGGGGGAUGACCUGGGGCUAGGGGUGAAAGGCCAAUCAAAUUCCGUGAUAGCUGGUUCUCUCCGAAAUGCAUUUAGGUGCAGCGUCGGUCGAUUGCGUCGCGGGGGUAGAGCUACCGGAUGCUUGCGGGCCCUUGUUGGGUACCAACAGCAGCCGAACUCCGAAUACCGUUGACGUGUAUUCCGGCAGUGAGUCGGCGGGGGAUAAGCUCCGUCGUCGAGAGGGAGACAGCCCAGACCGUCGUCUAAGGUCCCGAAGCGUGUGCUAAGUGGGAAAGGAUGUGGAGUCGCAUAGACAGCCAGGAGGUUGGCUCAGAAGCAGCCAUCCUUGAAAGAGUGCGUAACAGCUCACUGGUCUAGUGGUUCCGCGCCGACAAUGUAGCGGGGCUCAAGCACACCACCGAAGACGCGGCAGCAAUCUUCAUGGUUGCUGGGUAGGAGAGCGUCCUGCGAGGGGCGAAGCGGCCGGGUAACCGUGCCGUGGACUUCGUGGGAGUGAGAAUGCAGACAUGAGUAGCGAGAGACGGGUGAGGAUCCCGUCCGCUGGAUGACCAAGGGUUCCGGGGCCACGUUCGUCGUCCCCGGGUGAGUCGGGUCCUAAGGCGAGGCCGACAGGCGUAGUCGAAUGGAUGAACGGGUGGAUAUUCCCGUACCGACCAUGGACCGGCAAAACCGAGACGGUGAGUACUAACCUCCGCCUCGUGGUGGUUCCUUCCUUCGGGUUGGUAUCGCCGCGUGGCGUUGGGAGCGUAGCCGCAGUAGGUCAGCGCAGGGGUGACACGGAAUGGGAGCCGGCCGCGGAGGUGGUUUUCCGUGGUCAAGCACGCAGCCAGUCAUGUAGGCAAAUCCGCAUGGCGCGCAUGGCGAGGUGUGAUGAUGGGAGCCUUUUGGGCUCGAUAUCCGGUUGUCCAGGCCGUCGAGAAAAGCCUCGGCGUGAGGGCCAUGGCCGCCCGUACCCCAAACCGACACUGGUGGUCAGGUAGAGAAUACCAAGGCGAUCGAGCGAAUCCUGGUCAAGGAACUCGGCAAAUCACUCCCGUGCCUUCGGUAUAAGGGAGACCCACUGGGGUGAAGGACCUUGCGUCCGGAGCUUUGGUGGGUGGCACAGACCAGGGGGUAGCGACUGUUUACCAAAAACACAGGUGCAUGCGAAGGCGAAAGCCGCUGUAUAUGCACUGACGCCUGCCCGGUGCCGGAAGGUUAAGAGGAUCCGUCAAUCCCUUCGGGAUGAAGCGGUGAAUUCAAGCCCCGGUAAACGGCGGUGGUAACUAUAACCAUCCUAAGGUAGCGAAAUUCCUUGUCGGGUAAGUUCCGACCUGCACGAAUGGCGUAACGACUU